GCCCGCAGAGCUGCUGUUCCGCCCCGGGGCAGAGAACGAAACAGCAGCUUCUGUGGGCGGAGAAUCCUUCCCCUGAGAAGCGGUAACCCGAGGGGAGGGAGAACUCUCGCUUCCGCUGGUCUCCUCUCCCGCAGACCUUCCCCGGAUUGACUCUGCCUCGGUAUAUUCCUCUGCUGCCAGGGAGAGAAGAAGCGGAGCUCACCAUGGGCUCCGAGAGUGGAGCUGCUCCGUGGCGCCUUCUCCUCACCCUGGCUUUGCUCUUCUCCUGCUGCGAAGCCCAAGUGGUUCAGAGCCCCGAGUCGCUGGUCACUGGGGAAGGGAAGGUCUCCACCAUGUCCUGCUCUUUCACCAGCACUUACCGAACCUUCUACUGGUACCAGCAGCUGCCUGGGCAAGGGCCGACCCACCUGCUGACCGCGAGCUCUAAUCAGAAUGACACUGUGGGGCGGCGGUUCAUAGGCGAGCGCCUGGAAAGUGGGAAACGCAGCUCCCUGCACAUCACCGACUCCCAGCUGGGGGACUCAGGCAGCUACCUGUGUGCGGUGGAUGCACAGUGA